rnacentral:rRNA from 1 species
AGCGAACGCUGGCGGCAGGCUUAACACAUGCAAGUCGAGCGGGCACUUUCGGGUGUCCGCGGCGGACGGGUGAGUAACGCGUGGGAACGUGCCCUCUGGUUCGGAAUAACUCAGGGAAACUUGAGCUAAUACCGGAUACGCCCUUUUGGGGAAAGGCUUGCUGCCGGAGGAUCGGCCCGCGUCCGAUUAGCUAGUUGGUGAGGUAACGGCUCACCAAGGCGACGAUCAGUAGCUGGUCUGAGAGGAUGAUCAGCCACACUGGGACUGAGACACGGCCCAGACUCCUACGGGAGGCAGCAGUGGGGAAUAUUGGACAAUGGGCGCAAGCCUGAUCCAGCCAUGCCGCGUGAGUGAUGAAGGCCUUAGGGUUGUAAAGCUCUUUUAUCCGGGACGAUAAUGACGGUACCGGAGGAAUAAGCCCCGGCUAACUUCGUG